UACGAAGGGGGCUAGCGUUGUUCGGAUUUACUGGGCGUAAAGCGCACGUAGGCGGAUCGAUCAGUCAGGGGUGAAAUCCUGGAGCUCAACUCCAGAACUGCCUUUGAUACUGAAGAUCUUGAGUUCGGGAGAGGCGAGUGGAACUGCGAGUGUAGAGGUGAAAUUCGUAGAUAUUCGCAAGAACACCAGUGGCGAAGGCGGCUCACUGGCCCGAUACUGACGCUGAGGCACGAAAGCGUGGGGAGCAAACAGG
rnacentral:rRNA from 1 species